GACGGAGGGGGCUAGCGUUGUUCGGAAUUACUGGGCGUAAAGAGCACGUAGGCGGCGGUGCAAGUUGGGGGUGAAAUCCCGGGGCUCAACCCUGGAAUUGCCUCCAAAACUGUGCUGCUUGAGUUCGGAAGAGGAGAGUGGAAUUCCCAGUGUAGAGGUGAAAUUCGUAGAUAUGUGGAGGAAUACCGAUGGCGAAGGCAGCCCCCUGGGAUAACACUGACGCUCAUGCACGAAAGCGUGGGGAGCAAACAGG
rnacentral:rRNA from 1 species